AAACAACGUCUUUAUCCAAAUCUGACACACACAGUUUAAUAUAAUUAAACAGUGAGUAGUUCCCAGAUGCUAAGAUUCAUACAAAAGCAGUGAAGAUGGGGAAAUUACAGCCCUUCUCAAAAAACUUCAUUCAACUAGGUUCUUCUGACAUCCUGAGAAGUACCAGAGCACUCCAGACCUUGGAGGAAUGAAUAUUCAUGACUGGACAGAGGGCAUGGCUGAUGUUAUAGGAAAGUCUCAACAAAGGACAUUGACCUUUGAACUUGAGGAGUAUCCUUCCCUGUCAUCUUCUUUCCAUCAAAUUCCUAACAUUCUUCAAGGGCUAUUAGAAAUGGAUGCUUGCUUACCUAUCGCAUGUCAUAGAGUUGUGUGGCAAAGAUCAUGGUUUUUACAGUGGAAUGACAACAGAAGUGAGGUAUUUUCUUUCUGGGCCAGGGUGGUCAAGAAUAAGUAUGCCUUCUCCACUUUUUGUCCUCUUUUAUUAUCUACAGACAGACAAGCAUGAUGAUCUUGGAAACUAUGUUGAAGAUGGGGAACCGACAGGAUGAAAGGAUUCUGCGUUUCUGUAUCACACUUUUGAGGAGAGCCAAAAUAAACAUCAAAGCUUCUCAGUGUGCACGGAUAUUUCUACUGUGGAUCCUCAUAAAGGCAACACCCUGGAAUACGGCGGGCACCAUCUUCAACAACUUCAUUGUAGAUACCACAGAACGUUUCAUCUGAUUGUUUCACUGAGAUACCACAGUUCAGUGUGUAUAAAGAUCAUCGUUGAGCCAAUCAACAAAAUUUGAAUUCAGGCUGUAGAUGAAAAGUACUGGAUCAAAGUUAAACUAACUAAAGUUAAUAGCUAUUCUGUGGUUACGUAAGAGAAUAUUUUUAUCCUGAUGAAAUAUACACUGAAAUAUUUAGAAGUAAAGGGACAUAGUGUAUGCAGCCUAGUUUCAUGUAGUUCAGGGGGAAAGGAGAGGAGGAUAGAGAGAAAAUUUUAAAGCAAAUAGGGCUAUAUGUUAUCAACAGGUAAAUCUGGGUAAAGGGUAUUUGAGUAUUCAAUAUACUAUUCUUAUUCUUGCAAUGUUUCUACAAGUUUGAAAUUAUUUCCAACUAAAAUACCUUUUUAAAAAAAGGAAUAAUUUUUAUUAGAAUUUAAAUGCAAAAUUUAUUUAAAAAGAAGUACAUGCAAUAGUGCAUGUUAGAAAGUUACAGGAGUAAUAAACACCAUUUUGAUUUGUGAGUGAAAAUUUUUUUCUUUUUAAAUGUGUUCGAUUAAUUUAUUCAAGAUUAUACUAUAUAUAUCGAAAUAUAAAAUACCUGUAAAAAUUCACAACCAUUGUAAUGAUUUUAGUUUUAAGAAUAUAAUUUUUACUGUUCAUUUUUAUUAUAACACUGAUACAUUUUUAAUACAGAAAUUUUAGAAUACAAAAUUUUAGAAUGGAUAUUUUGUGCAUAUAUAUCAGAUGAAAUUACUGGUAGUUUUAUUUUAUAUAUUUAUGCAUAUUUGGUGUGCAUAUAUAUUUAAAAAUAUGAAAUUAUUGCAUUAUACAGUUUUGAAACUUGCCUUUUAUAAACUUGAUACAAAUAGCUUUCUAUAAAAUGUAAUCCUUCAAACACCUGGAUGCAAUUCUUAACUGUUACAGUCUAUUACUAUUUAUUUUCUUCUGUGUAAAUUAUUAUUUGAGCUGUUGUAUAUGAAGAUGAAAACUUAGAAGAUAAUACAACUACCUGUUAAAAUUUAUAAACUUCACAAGUCUUGCUGAAUUAUUUGAAUCAACUAUGAGGAAAGCCAAUAAAGUUUACUUGACAAAAUUUAA